AUGCUCACUUCAGCAGCACAUAUACUAAAAUUGGAACGAUACAGCAUAGAUUAGCAUGGCACAUGCGCAAGGAUGACAUGCAAAUUCAUGAAGCAUUCCUAUUUUUA